CAGCUACCCUGAGGCCGUGGACUGCAGCUGCACUCCAGUCUUUAAGCCCAGCUGUGCUCGGGUGUCUCACUUUCUACACCCCACCCUCAGCAUCAGAUAUACUCUAUCUCAGAAGCAAAAAGCCAUCCAUGAACAAAGACCUGGGACCAAGCCGACUCAUAAUACUAGUGGGAAACGGCCCCACCAGCAGCCCGCACCUGCAUCCUGCUCUCCCGCUGCCUCACUGGACCCUUGCAGUUAACUGGGACUUCAGCAGAGCAGAGCCUCAUCUUACGGAGGUCAAGUGUCCCACUGCUGCAGGGCCUUCAACCUGGAUCAUCCAGGUCUUCACAGGACUCCUCCCCCAGAAUGAUGCCUCCUUUGACAAUAGCUGGAGAUGUCAGAAAUGAGAUCAUUACUCAGCACUGGAUGCAGUGGUGCGUGUCUGUGUUCCCAGCUACUCAGGAGGCAGAGAUAGGAGGAUCACUCGAGCCCAGAAGGUGGAGG
rnacentral:lncRNA from 1 species